rnacentral:rRNA from 7 species
UUGACCUCAAAUCAGGUAGGACUACCCGCUGAAC